rnacentral:rRNA from 1 species
GACGAACGCUGGCGGCGUGCUUAACACAUGCAAGUCGAACGGAAAGGCCCUGCUUUUGUGGGGUGCUCGAGUGGCGAACGGGUGAGUAACACGUGAGUAACCUGCCCUUGACUUUGGGAUAACUUCAGGAAACUGGGGCUAAUACCGGAUAGGAGCUCCUGCUGCAUGGUGGGGGUUGGAAAGUUUCGGCGGUUGGGGAUGGACUCGCGGCUUAUCAGCUUGUUGGUGGGGUAGUGGCUUACCAAGGCUUUGACGGGUAGCCGGCCUGAGAGGGUGACCGGCCACAUGGGGCAGGAGAAACGGCCCAGACCCCUAGGGGGGGCAGGGGGGGGGAAUAUGGCCAAAGGGGGGGAGGCGUGAUGCAGCAACGCCGCGGGGGGGAGGCCGGCCUUCGGGUUGUAAACCGCUUCCCCCUGUGACGAAGCGUGAGGGACGGUAAUGGGUAAAGAAGCACCGGCUAACUACGU